GAUGAACGCUGGCGGCGUGCCUAAUACAUGCAAGUCGAACGCUGAAGGAGGAGCUUGCUCUUCUGGAUGAGUUGCGAACGGGUGAGUAACGCGUAGGUAACCUGCCUGGUAGCGGGGGAUAACUAUUGGAAACGAUAGCUAAUACCGCAUGACAACAGUUAUUGCAUGAUAACUGUUUAAAAGGGGCAACUGCUCCACUACCAGAUGGACCUGCGUUGUAUUAGCUAGUUGGUGAGGUAACGGCUCACCAAGGCGACGAUACAUAGCCGACCUGAGAGGGUGAUCGGCCACACUGGGACUGAGACACGGCCCAGACUCCUACGGGAGGCAGCAGGAGGGAAUCUUCGGCAAUGGACGGAAGUCUGACCGAGCAACGCCGCGUGAGUGAAGAAGGGUGUCGGAUCGUAAAGCUCGGUUGUAAGAGAAGAACGAGUGUGAGAGUGGAAAGUUCACACUGUGACGGUAGCUUACCAGAAAGGGACGGCUAACUACGUG
rnacentral:rRNA from 1 species